AUGGUGAUGGAUGCCAAGACGGCGCUGAAGAUGCUCAGGGCGGAGAAGGAGCAGUUCCACCUGGUCAUCACCGAUGUGCGCAUGCCGGACAUGGAUGGCUUCAAGCUCCUUGAGCUCAUCGGCCUCGAUAUGGAUCUGCCCGUCAUCAUGCUAUCAGUGGAUUGCGACAAGAAGGCCAUGAUGAAGGGGAUAAAUCAUGGGGUGUGUGACUUUCUGAUGAAGCCAGUGCAUACCAACGAGCUAAAAAACAUAUGGCAGCAUGUUGAAAGUAGGAGAAGAUGCCAAGCAAUAAGCCACAUGAGUAGAGAUAAUGAUGAUGACCAGAGAGUACAUCCUAAGACGCUUGCCAAGAAUAAGGACUCCAAGAGUAAGAGAAAUGAAAAAGAUGGUUCUAACGAGAACAAAGAGAGCACUCGUGCAUCCACUACCUAG
rnacentral:rRNA from 1 species